GUGCCCUUUUAAAGUAGACGCAGUUUUGUAAGAGGCUAACACAUAAGGGUAAAUUAAAGUAAGUCUCCGUAAAACCCAGAGAAGAGACAGAAGAGACUGUGAAACUCCUCUUUGGACCCCAUCUGGAGCCACAGCA
ensembl:snoRNA